GCCUGGGUGGCUCAGAGGUUGAGCAUCUGCCUUCGGCUCAGGGUGUGAUCCCUGGGGUCCUGGGAUGGAAUCCCACUUCAGGCU
rnacentral:tRNA from 1 species